AUACCCUAUUAUUUUUAAUGUAAAUUUUAUGAAGGCUGGAGUAUUAAUAGUUAUGGUCUUUAAACUCAAAGGAUUUGGCGGUAUUAUAAUCUUUUUAGAGGAAUUUGUCAUGUAAUCGAUAGUCCACGUUGAACCUUACUUGUUUAGUUAAUUUUCUUGUAUACCGCUGUUUAUGAAGAUACUUUUAGGUUUUAAAAUCUUCUUGAUAAAAGGUGAAUUAAAUAUUUAAUAUUUCAAGUCAAGGUGCAGUAAUAAAUAAGUUGAAUGAUGAAUUACAAUAAAUUUUAUUUAAUUAAUGGAUUUUUAUUUAAAGGUAAUAUGAAGGUGGAUUUAAUAGUAAUUUUAUGAAGAUUAUUAAAAUGAAUUUUUGGCUCUUUAAUAUGUACACAUCGC
rnacentral:rRNA from 1 species